CUGGCUGGCGCUGCUAUACAUGCAGUUGAGCGCUGAGGUUGGUACUUGUACCGACUGGAUGAGCAGCGAACGGGUGAGUAACGCGUGGGGAAUCUGCCUUUGAGCGGGGGACAACAUUUGGAAACGAAUGCUAAUACCGCAUAAAAACUUUAAACACAAGUUUUAAGUUUGAAAGAUGCAAUUGCAUCACUCAAAGAUGAUCCCGCGUUGUAUUAGCUAGUUGGUGAGGUAAAGGCUCACCAAGGCGAUGAUACAUAGCCGACCUGAGAGGGUGAUCGGCCACAUUGGGACUGAGACACGGCCCAAACUCCUACGGGAGGCAGCAGUAGGGAAUCUUCGGCAAUGGACGAAAGUCUGACCGAGCAACGCCGCGUGAGUGAAGAAGGUUUUCGGAUCGUAAAACUCUGUUGGUAGAGAAGAACGUUGGUGAGAGUGGAAAGCUCAUCAAGUGACGGUAACUACCCAGAAAGGGACGGCUAACUACGUGCCAGCAGCCGCGGUAAUACGUAGGUCCCGAGCGUUGUCCGGAUUUAUUGGGCGUAAAGCGAGCGCAGGUGGUUUAUUAAGUCUGGUGUAAAAGGCAGUGGCUCAACCAUUGUAUGCAUUGGAAACUGGUAGACUUGAGUGCAGGAGAGGAGAGUGGAAUUCCAUGUGUAGCGGUGAAAUGCGUAGAUAUAUGGAGGAACACCGGUGGCGAAAGCGGCUCUCUGGCCUGUAACUGACACUGAGGCUCGAAAGCGUGGGGAGCAAACAGGAUUAGAUACCCUGGUAGUCCACGCCGUAAACGAUGAGUGCUAGAUGUAGGGAGCUAUAAGUUCUCUGUAUCGCAGCUAACGCAAUAAGCACUCCGCCUGGGGAGUACGACCGCAAGGUUGAAACUCAAAGGAAUUGACGGGGGCCCGCACAAGCGGUGGAGCAUGUGGUUUAAUUCGAAGCAACGCGAAGAACCUUACCAGGUCUUGACAUACUCGUGCUAUUCCUAGAGAUAGGAAGUUCCCUUCGGGACACGGGAUACAGGUGGUGCAUGGUUGUCGUCAGCUCGUGUCGUGAGAUGUGGGGUUAAGUCCCGCACGAGCGCACCCCUAUGUAGUGCCAUCAUUAAGUGGCACUCUACGAGACUGCGUGAUAACGGAGAGGUGGGGGAUGACGUCAAUCAUCAUGCCCCUUAUGAACCUGGG
rnacentral:rRNA from 1 species